AGUUGUAGUUUUUUAUUAUUAUACAUACUGAUUGUUGUAUCUCGCUAGAGCGAGUGGUUUUGUGUACCAGGAUACUAUGUAUGUAUAGUGAAUCUCUGUUAUUAUAUAUGUUUUUCUUUUUAGCAGCUCUAUACUACUGGUUGUAGUGUUGUAUGAUUACAGAUACAGCUAUCGCUUCGUAUACAGAAAAAAUAUCUAUAUAUACGGCGGGUCUGUUAGCAUGCUCGGUAAAACGAAUAAUCCGGGGUGUGACAAAUCUGGCACGAAAGACGAGAUGAAAUCAUAGGUGAGAACGGAUUAAUUAACGUGUGGCCUAGAGAAGGAACGGAUAAAUUACUUUUCGGUUAAUUUCAUAGAUACCCUCUUACCCACCCCUAAUUACAUGAAUACGCUCCAACAAAAACUAUUAAUAUCAAAAAUGUCCUUCAAAUUCAGUUAAAUUAUCGAGUCCGACUGAAAUACUAUCGAUAGUACCAAGCGUUUAGUGCUAUCAAGUUUUCCGCAGUUAGAUUUAACCCUUUAACUAUUUUUACCCAUUAGAUUAUACUAUUAAAUCAAUAACUCACUCAACCCUAGACGGCCAAUCAUUCUAACCGUAUAUUUUGUUCAUCCAAAGGCUAAAAACCUGAUAGCACGAAGAGCUUGAUACUAUUGAUAGGAUUCUGAUUUUACUUUUAAAUUAUCAAAACUAUCCAUACUAUUUAUAUUUCAAAAAAAAGUAUGGCUAAAAUACCUAUUUCACCCCUCAUUUUUAUAACUAUUAUAGUACAUAUUUUAUUACCAAGAUAAUAUGUUUUUAGAGCAAGUGAUAAAGGACUUGAUGGUUGGUACUCGAGACUCAAGUUCGAAUCCUAGUUGUUUCAAAUUUUUACCUAAGUUUAUUUUUAAAUGAAAUAAACGAAGCGGGUAGCUACCUAUCUCUCAAAAAAAAAUAAUAUGUUUUUAUUAUAAAAAUUUUUUUACUUUAAUUUAAUUAAUUUAAAUCUCUUCAUUUUAAUGUNACGUCAUUUCACUUUCCAUUUAAUCUGGUGGCGCCACGUACGUGGCAAGAAACCGCCACCUAAGUUCCCAGUUCCAAACAACUCUCCCACUAGGGAUGCAAAGGAUCCGGGUUGGUGGAGCUCCCGCCCCGAUCCGCCCCGACGGGUAGUAAAUAGGAGAAAAUAAACGGAUUCGGGACAGAAAACGAAAUAAGUUUUAAGAUCCGAGACGGAUUCGGAGUAGAAAACGGAAGAAAUUUUGACCCGUCCCGAAUCCACCCCGACAUAAUCCGCCCCGAAUCUGCCCCGAAUAUCAUUUGUAUUUUUAAAAAAUAUUCCUAAAAAAUAAUUUAUUUAUAAAAAAAGUUCAAAAUGCAAAUAAGUUAUUACUCUCUAAUGUAUUUGAAAUAUUUGAAUUUUGUUUUGAAUUGUGAUUGAUAUUUUUAAUUUUUACCAUUAGUAUUAUUAAAUUAUAUAUAUAAUAUUAUUAA
rnacentral:lncRNA from 1 species